rnacentral:rRNA from 1 species
GAUGAACGCUGGCGGCGUGCCUAAUACAUGCAAGUAGAACGCUGAAGGAAGGAGCUUGCUCUUUCCGGAUGAGUUGCGAACGGGUGAGUAACGCGUAGGUAACCUGCCUGGUAGCGGGGGAUAACUAUUGGAAACGAUAGCUAAUACCGCAUAACAGUAGAUGUUGCAUGAUAUCUACUUAAAAGGUGCAAUUGCACCACUACCAGAUGGACCUGCGUUGUAUUAGCUAGUUGGUGAGGUAACGGCUCACCAAGGCGACGAUACAUAGCCGACCGGAGAGGGUGAUCGGCCAAACUGGGACUGAGACACGGCCCAGACUCCUACGGGAGGCAGCAGUAGGGAAUCUUCGGCAAUGGACGGAAGGCUGACCGAGCAACGCCGCGUGAGGGAAGAAGGUUUUCGGAUCGUAAAGCUCUGUUGUAAGGGAAGAACGAGUGUGAGAGUGGAAAGUUCACACUGUGACGGUAUCUUACCAGAAAGGGACGGCUAACUACGUG